CAGUCGCCGCGGUAAUACAUAGGUCGCAAGCGUUAUCCGGAAUUAUUGGGCGUAAAGCGUUCGUAGGCUGUUUAUUAAGUCUGGAGUCAAAUCCCAGGGCUCAACCCUGGCUCGCUUUGGAUACUGGUAAACUAGAGUUGGAUAGAGGUAAGCGGAAUUCCAUGUGAAGCGGUGAAAUGCGUAGAUAUAUGGAAGAACACCAAAGGCGAAGGCAGCUUACUGGGUCUAUACUGACGCUGAGGGACGAAAGCGUGGGGAGCAAACAGGAUUAGAUACCCGCGUAGUCCCUGUCUCUUAUACA
rnacentral:rRNA from 1 species